UCCGUCUACACUGAACAUUUCGAGGAACCCCCAGACAGUCUCCACGUGGCCACAUCAUUCUGAUGCAUGGCAGACGAGCCCGAAAGAGGAGCUUAGUCCCAGAGGGUUCUUGGCUUUGCCCAGGAAAGAAUUCAAGGUCGAGCCAGAGGUGGAAGGAAACAGCUUUACUUCAGAGGUGGGGUUACAGCUGUGGCUGCUCCCGCAGGGCAGGGCUUCCACAGACAGCAGCCCGGGGCAGCUCUGCAGUCUCACUUAUAGCCACAGUUUUUUUUUUUAAAGACAGAAUAUUACUCUAUUGCCCAGGCUGGAGUGCAGUGGUACGGUCUCAGCUCACUGCAACAUCUGCCUCCCGGGUUCAAGCGAUUCUUCUGCCUCAGCCUCCCGAGUAGCUGGGACUACAGGUGCCUGCCACGCCAGGCUAAUUUUUGUAUUUUUGGCACAGACGGGGUUUCACUAUGUUGGCCAGGCUGGUCUCAAACUCCUGACUUCAGGUGAUCCGCCUGCCUUGGCCUCCCAAAGUGCUGGGAUUACAGGUGUGAGCCACUGUACCCGGCCAGAAAUGUCAAAUUUUGAUGAAGUCCAAUUUAUUUUCUGUGUUGUUGCCGGUGCUGUUGUUGUCAUAUCCAAGAAAACACUGCCAAAUCCAAUGUCCUUAAGAUUUUCCCAGGUUUUAUUCUGAGUCUUACAGUUUUAGCUCUUACAUUUAGGUGUUUCAUCCUAUGUUUUUUGGGUUAAUUUUUGUGUAUGCUGUUAGGUAAGGGGCCAGCUUCAUUCAUUAUUUUGCAUGUGGAGAUAAAGCUUUCCCAGUACCAUUUGCUGAAAAGGCUGUCCUCUUCCCAUUGAAUGGUCUCAGAGCCUUUGUCGGAAGGUACCAGGCCACGUGUGGGACAAUUUCUUGGGUCAUUCUCAUCGGAAGGUACCUGGUUGUUCUCGUUGGAAGGUGCCUGGUUGUUCUUGUCGGAAGACACCUGGUUGUCCUCGUUGGAAGGUACCUGGCUGCGUGUGGGACGAUUUCUUGGGUCGUUGUUGUCAGAAGGUACCUGGUUGCAUGUGUGGAAUGAUUUCUCGGGUUGUUCUCAUCGGAAGGUACCUGGUUGCAUGUGUGGAAUGAUUUCUCGGGUUGUUCUUGUCGGAAGGUA
rnacentral:lncRNA from 10 species